UACGUAGGGGGCAAGCGUUGUCCGGAAUCAUUGGGCGUAAAGCGCGUGUAGGCGGUUUGGUAAGUCUGCUGUGAAAGUCCGGGGCUCAACCCCGGAAAGCCGGUGGAUACUGUCGAACUAGAGUGCGGAAGAGGCGAGUGGAAUUCCUGGUGUAGCGGUGAAAUGCGCAGAUAUCAGGAGGAACACCAAUUGCGAAGGCAGCUCGCUGGGACGUUACUGACGCUGAGACGCGAAAGCGUGGGGAGCAAACAGG
rnacentral:rRNA from 1 species